rnacentral:rRNA from 1 species
AUUGAACGCUGGCGGCAGGCCUAACACAUGCAAGUCGAGCGGAUGAAGGGAGCUUGCUCCUGGAUUCAGCGGCGGACGGGUGAGUAAUGCCUAGGAAUCUGCCUGGUAGUGGGGGAUAACGUCCGGAAACGGGCGCUAAUACCGCAUACGUCCUGAGGGAGAAAGUGGGGGAUCUUCGGACCUCACGCUAUCAGAUGAGCCUAGGUCGGAUUAGCUAGUUGGUGGGGUAAGGGCCUACCAAGGCGACGAUCCGUAACUGGUCUGAGAGGAUGAUCAGUCACACUGGAACGGAGACACGGUCCAGACUCCUACGGGAGGCAGCAGUGGGGAAUAUUGGACAAUGGGCGAAAGCCUGAUCCAGCCAUGCCGCGUGUGUGAAGAAGGUCUUCGGAUUGUAAAGCACUUUAAGUUGGGAGGAAGGGCAGUAAGUUAAUACCUUGCUGUUUUGACGUUACCAACAGAAUAAGCACCGGCUAACCUCGUG